GGUUUGCUGGUCCUCGGAUCUGACUUCCAGGCCUUGCCAUUUUUGGGAGGAGUUAUUUCCUUCUUCCCUUUUACAAAAACCCCGGGCAUCUGCCUGGGCUGGCCUUUGUGGCAGCAGCUUGAGCGCUAAGCCACAUUAGCCUGUUUGAUCUCUGGUUAGACUCUGAUUUGGGUGCCCUUGGUGGGCAUUUUCUAGAAUAUUUUUUAUGACAAAAUACAAACUAGAAUUUAGUUUCGAACUGUGGUAAGGACAAAAAGGCCAUGAGCGUCCCAAACUAGAAGCAUUCAGACACUUUUUGAAUUCUUACGAUAAUAUACCAAAGUCACUUUAAUUUUUCUUUUGCUGAAAACAUUUUAUUUCACCACAAAUUACUUCACUAAUUUGCAUCUCUAUAAAAUGACGAUAUUCUGUUUAACAAAAUUAGUAAUAAUACCUUACUGUCUCAAAUACUAGGUCUCUGAUCAAAUUUCCCCAUUGCCCCAAAAUACAUUUCACAGCUUUUUGUUCAAGCUAGGAUUCAAUCAACGUCGAGACGUUGCAUUUAGCUGUUCUGUUUCUCAAGCCUCCUUAGAUCCAGAAUGGUUUAUUCUCUCUCUUUUGGGUGAUAGAAAAGUUUCCCCCACUCUGAUGUGUUUAAUAGUUUCAUUUUUUUACAUUAAAAUUUUUGAUCCAUUUGGAAUUUAUUCUACUGUGUCUUUUGAGGCAAGGAUCUGAUUUUGAAUUUCCGUAAAUGGCUGGCUGGGUGUUGCAAUACCUUUUAUUAAGAAGCCCGUCUUUCCCCCAUUAAUUAAAGAUCUCACAUGUAUUCUUUGUCAAAUGGUAACUGUUGUAAUUACCUGGGUCUUUUGUGCCUUCUAAAGUAUGAUGUUAGUUUGUAAACCCAUCCACAUCCCACAAGCACGGCUGUUCGCAUUACAGAAAUUUUGUGGCAUGUUUUAGUAUUUUGCGGCUAGUAGCGCCAGUUUAUCUUUCUUUUCAUCAUGAUUUUCCCAGUUAUUCUUGCUGCUUUAUCUUUUCCUAUAGGACUUUUAGAAUAAAUAUAUCUAAUUUUAGAAGAAAAUUCUGUGAAUGAUGAAUUGACUUGGGAAUUCUGUGAAUGAAGAUUUAACUUCUCUUGAUGUUGAGUCAUCUUACCCAAGAACCUGAGUCUUUCUUAUUUUUCCAGUAUGCAAUAAGGGCUUCCCUGGUGGCUCAGAUGGUAAAGAAUCUGCCUGCAAUGCAAGAGACACAGGUUUGAUCCCUGGAUUGGGGAGAUCCCCUGGAGAAGGGAAUGGAAGCCCACUCCAGUAUUCUUGCCUGGACAGUUCUAUGCACACCGGAACCUGGCCGGCUACAGUCCAUGGGGUCACAAAGCGUUGGACAUGACUGAGCAACAAGCACACACAGUAUGUGAUAAAAUCAUCUGCAAAACAGGGAUGUUUUAUAUUUUCCUUCUAGUGAUUAUCUUUUUGUUGUCCUCUCAUCUCAUGAGAUGCUGAAACUGAAGCUCCAAUACUUUGACCACCUGAUGCCAGGAGCCAACUCAUUGGAAAAGACUCUGAUGCUGGGAAAAAUUGAAGGUGGGAGAAGGGGAUGACAGAGGAUGAGAUGGUUGGGUGGCACCACCUACUCGAUGAACAUGAGUUUGAGCAAACUCUGGGAGAUGGGGAAGGACAGGGAAGCCUG
ensembl:lncRNA